rnacentral:lncRNA from 10 species
UGCCGCUGAGAUGUUUCCUAGCUGUGCACAGAAUUCACUCUCCUACUGGAGGGCUCUGACUGAAAGCUCUGAUGCGGCAGGCCUUCUCUUGACACUUGGUUAAGGUAUGCCUCUCACAUCUGUAUGCCCACAUCUGCUCUCCUCCCUCCCUCCUUCUCAGCACUUAGCCCUCUGAUAUGGUUUGCUGGCGUCCCCACCCAAAUCUCAUCUUGAAUUGUAGUUCCCAUAAAUCCCCACGUAUUGUUCGAGGUACCCCGUGGGAGAUAAUUGAAUCAUGGGGGUGGUUACCCAGAUGCUGCGGUUCUCGUGUUAGUGAGUUCUCGUGAGAUCUGAUGGUUUUAUAAGGGGCUUUUCCCCCUUUUUCUCGGCACUUCUCCUCGCUGCCGCCACAUGAAGAAGGAUGUGUUUGCUUCCCCUUCUGCCAUGAUUGGAAGUUUCCUGAGACCCCUCCAGCCAUGCUGAACUGUGAGUCAAUCAAACGUCUUUCCUCCAUAAAUUACCCAGUCUCGGGUAUGUCUUUAUUAGCAGUGUGAGAAUGGACUCACACAUUCUCCUAAUGUAGUAUACAUGUGUUUGCUCAUUUGUCACCAUCUCUCCAUCUCUAGUCUCUAGAAUAUGAGAUCUGUAAGAACAGGGACACCUAGAAUACGAGAUCUGUAAGAAUAGGGACAUUGUCUGUAUCAGGUGUUCAUGGCUCAAUCCCAGCACCUGGAACAGCAUGAGGCACCUGGCAGGUGCCUGACAAACAUUUGCAGGGAAUAUGUGUGCAUGAACCUGCAUGGGCAGGAACAGGUGCAUAGGAACAUGGAUUGUGGACGUGCAUGUAUGUGCGUGCAUAUGUAUACCACUAUGUAUACGUAGCUUAUUGUGUCUUUGCAGUGAGGUUUUCAAACCUCUGUCUUGUUUCCAGGAUUUCCUGAAGACACCAUCCCAGUCAAGUGGUCUGCCUCAUACUGAGCCACCAGACCACCCAGCAUGUCCUCACCCGCGUGGACAGAUGACAGGGGGCUCUGAGCAUGCCCCAGUGCACCUUACGCACCUGUGAAGGUUGGGAGCCUGAGUGCAGCUCCUGUGGCACUGCCCGUGGCCAGGGAGAUGCCUCCUCAGUGCUCCUGACCCUCGGUGGAGGACCGGCCAGCGUGUGUGCCGACAGUGUGUCCACACAGGUGUGCUGCGCCCAAUGGGCAAGUCGGAAACAAAGGAAAAUGCUCUCUGAAGGAAAAGGCAAAGCAAUUUGGAUUUCUGCGAGAAAAUGAGACUGCAUGUGGCACUGUAAAUACCCUUGCUGCUGAACUUCUCGCUCCCCCCAGAUACACCCUUCAUAUUGACAUGUCUAGAACCUUAAACUGAACCAAGUUGAAAAGUGAGAUUAAUUAGGGCUGAGUUAACAGUUAACACAUACAAUGAAAUAUUGAAUAAGGCUUACUGAGCAAACAAGAAUAUACAGAAGUGGAGGAGACAAAGAGGAUAUUAAAAAUGCAGACAGUGAUGAGGCAGAUAGCUGGGACAAAUAAUGAAAAAUAGUAAAGGAGAUAAGGCAGAUAUUGGAGGAGCAAAGAGUCUCUGAAAUAGAUAUCGGUAUUGAAAGAUGCUAAACACGCUUCUAAAGAGACUUUCUAGCCGACACAGGGAGCUCACUGAUGGAUGAAGUAGAAACAUUUUUAAAUGGAAUCAAACAGGGCAAAGCGGGAGAAGAAAAAGAAGUAGGUAAACCAGUAAAUUAACUUUUCUCGUGUGUGCUGUGUACUAUUUGUGAGUGAGCAAUGAACGCUGUGGCUCCCUGGAGGGGCUGUGGUGGGAAGUUUCACUGCGAUCAAGUAGAGGUGGUGCCUUUGGACCUCUUCUCCUGAACCUGCAGGGAGAGGCGCAGAAUAUUCACAAGGUGAAGAUGCAACAAUUCAAAUGAGUGUCCAGGUUUUCAGGGUGGUUGCUAAACCCCAAAAGACCGAUAGCUUCGGGCAAAAGACUGCAGAAAGAACAGCUUUACAUUUUUACGGAAGCAAUGGGAAAUAUACCCUGUAAGCCUUGAAAAAUUCCCGAAGGGACCCUCAAAAUGUCACUGUCUGAGGGUCUUGACCUCUGGCUUGUGAGCUCACAGAGGGCAGCGCCCUUGCACUCACCUUCCUGUUGACCUGCAGGGCCAAGCAUUGUGCCGGACAUAGGGGUGAACAGGCACAUGCUUCCCACCUGUCAGGGAGAUUCUUGCUCUCCUGGCUCUGCCCCACCCCUGGGGGCUCUGCCAGCUCCUCGGAACCCUGAGUCCAGGGCAGGGCACGGUCUCAGGUCUUAGCCUGAUGACGUAGUACAGGCUCUAGGCCCCAGGAGGGACAUGGCACUUCCUGCAUCGACUCUGUCACUGGUCUCCCCAGGGCUUCCCUCCCCAAGCCUCAGGGGCUGUGGGGUACCCCAUCCUCUCCACAGAACACGUGCACAGGCCUCCAGGAGAUGGUUAAUAGAACGGAGAGGUUUUAGGGAAGUUUAUUUCUAUAGCUCUUACAUUUAUUUAUAUUUGUCAAAUAUGUUCCCAUCACUAAAAUCUCUUUGGAGCAUUUUCAAAAAUUAAAGAAUUGCGUCUAAAAAUACUGACCUUGAUGUUCAGUGUGCAUGGGUAACUCUCCAGGCCCAGCAACAUCAAGAGGCAGAUGUGACAGCAGCCGUGGCUGCUCAGGGGGCCGGGAAUGCGGGAAAGGGGUGGCUGUCAAACAGUCUUGACAAGCGGCUGAAUGUGACUGUGUCGGAUUUGGAAAGUGCAGCCUGAGAAUUUGAAAUCCAUUCACUCCCCACCCCCAAGCGUUUUUUCAUGUAUUCGUUCAUUCAGCACACCUUGAAUGAACACUCUUUUAUUUGCUACCUAUUCAGGGACACUACACAGGCCCGUGACCAUCACACGCCCAGCCUGGCCCCGUGCUGUGCCUGAGCAGAGGACUGUUGGCAGAUGGUUCACUUCCACCCUCCAUGAUAAAUGCUGAGAAAAGAAAGAUCAAGGGCUUCAGAGCCCACUGGAGGGAAUUCAUACAGCCGGGGGCCCAGGAAGCUGCUAAGGAAACUGCCUGGACGGCAGGGUGGCCGUGACCACGGGGACGGGGAGAAGGACCCAGAGGAGCUGAGGAAUCCUUGCUGUGGAAGGCACCAUAUGAGCUGCGUGAAGUCAGAGUCAAAAGCAAACCCGUCUCUUCUUGACAGUGGGACCCAGGAGGCAGGACAACCUGCCAGAGAGGCUGAAGGAGGUUCCCUCAGGCUGGAUCCUCGACAAGAAAAAGGAAGAGGGUCUGCCUGAUUCCCUCGCCAACAACAGCUGGUCUUCCAGAAGUCAGCAAUCUCUUGUCCCUUGUCUUCAAAAGCCCAUGGAGCUGGAGGCAGGCAGCUGAGGUCAGGAAGAGAAGGUGCGACCCAGUCCAGGAAGGCUGAGUCCUCGUGAACCCUCAGGGCUGGGGUGAGGGGCCAGUGCCCGGCCCAGACACCAGCACAGCCCUGCAGUGGGAGUUGAUCUCAGCAGAUGGACGGGCACCGCCCAGAGGAUGGACUGGUCAGCACCGCCCGGAGGAUGGACCGCUCAGCACCGCAGUGGCCGCUUGGCCUAAUUUGCCACCUGAAGAGCCGCCAGGUCUCCAGUGACUCUAGCACCAUGGACAGGAGAGGAGCAGGGUGACCUGAGGGUACAGAGAAGGUUCUGCUGUAAUCAAGUUCCCCUGCCUGGUCAGAGGGCUCAGAGGUUUGAGAGGGGAGGGAUUUCCUUUUAAAGCUGCAGGAUCCCUGUGGGUCCAGAAAGAAACACAGCCAUGGCGGGCAUCCCAUGGAGGGUAGUGACCAGGAGCAGGACAAAGGUGGAAGGUGGGUGGAGCCCCCACAUGGGCCUCAGGUCACAUUGGACAUUUCCUCAGCAAGUGUCACCUGGGUGGUGACGAAUGGGGGAGGAGAACAGAUGGAAUGCGGAGAGUAGCAGUGUGAAGCUGCACCGCCUGGUCACCACUCGAGAUACACAGGGUUUGCUCUGCCUGAGGAGCACACGCUGGCUGCAGACACGGGGCAACCACGUGAGAAAGGUCAGACCCAGGCCCACUCGCCUUCCAUAUGCAUCUUAGGGACGGGGAUGCCUGCGCCAGCAGCAGCCUUGCUGCCCCUGCGUCCCCCAGUGCACCUGCCAGGGCAAAGCCAACAGGCAGUGCCAAGGACCUGAGGGAGGAGGUGGGCUUGACUUCGAGGCAGGGCACAGACACCAGACCACGUGGAGGAGCAGCUGAAACAGGGCCGGUGGCAGCAGCCGCCUGUGAGACGUGCCAGCCGGUGAGCCUUGUUAGUUUACCAUUGCCACGGCAAGACCCAGAAGUUACUGCCACUUCCCACGGUAAAAUCCCAAUGACCCUGAGGUUUCUGCUCCUUUUCUAGAAAUUUCUGCAUAAACCAACCCCUAAUUAGCAUGUAGUUAAAAGUGGGUGUAAUUAUGAUGCGGAGCUGCCUCUGAGCUGCUCUUCUGUGCACUCUGCUGUCCUGGGGCAGCCCCUCUGCUGCCGCU